rnacentral:piRNA from 1 species
UCACUAGGUGGAGUGGAUGUGUGUGGC